GGGCAAUUGGUCUAGGGGUAUGAUUUUCGCUUCGCAUUGUUUCCUCACCGAUGCAACUGUGAAAGGUCACCGGUUCGAAUCCGGUAUUGUCCA
rfam:Sordaria macrospora k-hell, WGS project CABT02000000 data, contig: 2.7